GGUAUCUCACCGCUGCUUUGGUGCAGGGUUUAUGCUCAGCACGGAACGCAAUGUAGGGCUUGAACUCACGACCCAGAGAUCAAGACCUGGGCUGAGAUCCCGGAGUUGGAUGCUUAACGGACUGAGCCACCCAGGGGCCCCCAGUGUUUUGUGUUAUUAAGCUGUCUUUCAACUGACACCGUGAAAAGGGCCUUUUAAGCGCACUGAUACAUCCGGACCUGCUACUUGUACUAAUUUGUGCACCGUCUAGUUUGAUUCCACUGAGCUUUGGUAGAAGUUGCCUCCAGCAAUCUCACUUUAGAAAACUAUUUCCUGGGGCGCCUGGGUGGCGCAGUCGGUUAAGCGUCU